UGGAACUGUCAAGGGAUUGGGAAC
rnacentral:siRNA from 1 species